rnacentral:rRNA from 1 species
UACAGAGGGGGGCAAGCGUUAUUCGGAAUUAUUGGGCGUAAAGGGCGCGUAGGCGGCUUGGCAAGUGGAUGGUGAAAUCCCUCGGCUUAACCGAGGAACUGCCGUCCAAACUGCUUUGCUUUGAGACCGGGAGAGGUGAGUGGAAUUCCGAGUGUAGAGGUGAAAUUUCGUAGAUAUUCGGAAGAACACCAGUGGCGAAGGCGGCUCACUGGACCGGUAUUGACACUGAAAAGCGAAAGCCAGGGGAGCAAACGGG